rnacentral:rRNA from 1 species
CCGGAUUAGAUACCCGGGUAGUCCCAGCUGUAAACGAUGCAGACUCGAUGAUGCAUUGGCAUAUAGCCAUUGCAGUGUCGCAGGGAAGCCGUUAAGUCUGCCGCCUGGGAAGUACGUACGCAAGUAUGAAACUUAAAGGAAUUGGCGGGGGAGCACCACAAGGGGUGAAGCCUGCGGUUCAAUUGGAGUCAACGCCAGAAAUCUUACCCGGAGAGACAGCAGAAUGAAGGUCAAGCUGAAGACUUUACCAGACAAGCUGAGAGGUGGUGCAUGGCCGUCGCCAGCUCGUGCCGUGAGAUGUCCUGUUAAGUCAGGUAACGAGCGAGAUCCCUGCCGCUAGUUGCUAUCAUUAUUCUCAGGAAUAGUGGAGCGAAUUAGUGGGACUGCCGUUGUUAAAACGGAGGAAGGAAGGGGCUACGGCAGGUCAGUAUGCCCCGAAACUCUGGGGCCACACGCGGGCUGCAAUGGUAGUGACAAUGAGUUCCAAACUCGAAAGAGAGUGGCAAUCUCUAAACGCUACCACAGUUAUGACUGAGGGCUGUAACUCGCCCUCACGAAUAUGGAAUCCCUAGUAACCGCGUGUCAUUACCGCGCGGUGAAUACGUCCCUGCUCCUU